rnacentral:rRNA from 2 species
GGGUUGUGAGGUUAAGCGACUAAGCGUACACGGUGGAUGCCCUGGCAGUCAGAGGCGAUGAAGGGCGUGCUAAUCUGCGAUAAGCGCCGGUAAGGUGAUAUGAACCGUUAUAACCGGCGAUACCCGAAUGGGGAAACCCAGUGUGAUUCGUCACACUAUCAUUAACUGAAUCCAUAGGUUAAUGAGGCGAACCGGGGGAACUGAAACAUCUAAGUACCCCGAGGAAAAGAAAUCAACCGAGAUUCCCCCAGUAGCGGCGAGCGAACGGGGAGGAGCCCAGAGCCUGAAUCAGCAUGUGUGUUAGUGGAAGCGUCUGGAAAGGCGCGCGAUACAGGGUGACAGCCCCGUACACAAAAGCGCAUGUGCUGUGAGCUCGAUGAGUAGGGCGGGACACGUGGUAUCCUGUCUGAAUAUGGGGGGACCAUCCUCCAAGGCUAAAUACUCCUGACUGACCGAUAGUGAACCAGUACCGUGAGGGAAAGGCGAAAAGAACCCCGGCGAGGGGAGUGAAAAAGAACCUGAAACCGUGUACGUACAAGCAGUGGGAGCACCCUUUGGGGUGUGACUGCGUACCUUUUGUAUAAUGGGUCAGCGACUUAUAUUCUGUAGCAAGGUUAACCGUAUAGGGGAGCCG